UACGGAGGGAGCUAGCGUUGUUCGGAAUUACUGGGCGUAAAGCGCACGUAGGCGGCUUUGUAAGUUAGAGGUGAAAGCCCGGGGCUCAACCCCGGAAUUGCCUUUAAGACUGCAUCGCUUGAAUCCGGGAGAGGUGAGUGGAAUUCCGAGUGUAGAGGUGAAAUUCGUAGAUAUUCGGAAGAACACCAGUGGCGAAGGCGGCUCACUGGACCGGUAUUGACGCUGAGGAGCGAAAGCGUGGGGAGCGAACAGG
rnacentral:rRNA from 1 species